GACGAAGGGGGCUAGCGUUGUUCGGAAUUACUGGGCGUAAAGCGAGUGUAGGUGGUUGCCGUAGUCAGGCGUGAAAGCCUUGAGCUCAACUCAAGAAAUGCGCUUGAUACUGGGCAGCUAGAGGACCGGAGAGGAUAGUGGAAUUCCCAGUGUAGUGGUGAAAUACGUAGAGAUUGGGAAGAACACCAGUGGCGAAGGCGGCUAUCUGGACGGUUUCUGACACUAAGACUCGAAAGCGUGGGGAGCAAACAGGAUUAGAUACCCUGGUAGUCCACGCCGUAAACGAUGGGUGCUAGACGUUGGCGGGCUUGCCCGUCAGUGUCGCAGCUAACGCGUUAAGCACCCCGCCUGGGGAGUACGGCCGCAAGGUUG
rnacentral:rRNA from 1 species